rnacentral:rRNA from 1 species
CAGUCGCCGCGGUAAUACGAAGGGGGCUAGCGUUGUUCGGAAUUACUGGGCGUAAAGGGCGCGUAGGCGGCCAUUCAAGUUAGAUGUGAAAGCCCUGGGCUCAACCUAGGAAUUGCAUUUGAUACUGUUGCUUGAGUGGGGAAGAGGGUCGUGGAAUUCCCAGUGUAGAGGUGAAAUUCGUAGAUAUUGGGAAGAACACCGGUGGCGAAGGCGACUCUCUGGUCUGUAACUGACGCUGAGGAGCGAAAGCGUGGGGAGCAAACAGGAUUAGAUACCCGCGUAGUCCCUGUCUCUUAUACAC